AUUGAACGCUGGCGGCAGGCCUAACACAUGCAAGUCGAGCGGAUGAAGGGAGCUUGCUCCUGGAUUCAGCGGCGGACGGGUGAGUAAUGCCUAGGAAUCUGCCUGGUAUUGGGGGAUAACGUCCGGAAACGGGCGCUAAUACCGCAUACGUCCUGAGGGAGAAAGUGGGGGAUCUUCGGACCUCACGCUAUCAGAUGAACCUAGGUCGGAUUAGCUAGUUGGUGGGGUAAAGGCCUACCGAGGCGACGAUCCGUAACUGGUCUGCGAGGAUGAUCAGUCACACUGGAACUGAGACACGGUCCAGGCUCCUACGGGAGGCAGCAGUGGGGAAUAUUGGACAAUGGGCGGAAGCCUGAUCCAACCAUGCCGCGUGUGUGAAGAAGGUCUUCGGAUUGUAAAGCACUUUAAGUUGGGAGGAAGGGCAGUAAGUUAAUACCUUGCUGUUUUGACGGUACCAACAGAAUAAGCACCGGCUAACUUCGUG
rnacentral:rRNA from 1 species